rnacentral:lncRNA from 1 species
AUAUUGGCUUGUGUUGUACAUUGUAAAUGCAUGUUAGUUACCAUACAUUGCACAAGUGUUUCUUAGGGGUUGCUUAUGUGAUGAUUACUUAAUGAUGAGAUAAUCUUGGUAUUUGACUUGUAUUACCUUAUGAUUGGAGGCUAUGUAUUGUGAAUAUUGGGAUUUGUAUUAUAUUGAUGUUGUAGACUAUGCUUGUUAUUAUAAUGAUAUCUCUCAUGUUAUAAUGAAAUGUAUGUGAG